rnacentral:rRNA from 1 species
AUCGAACGCUGGCGGCAGGCCUAACACAUGCAAGUCGAGCGAGCGGCGGACGGGUGAGUAAUGUCUGGGAAACUGCCUGAUGGCUGGGGAUCACUACUGGAAACGGUUGCUAAUACCGCAUACCAUCAGAUGUGCCCAGAUGGGAGUAGCUAGUAGGUGGGUUAAUGGCUCACCUCGGCGACGAUCCAUUGCUGGUCUGAGAGGAUGACCAGACACACUGGAACUGAGACACGGUCAAGACUCCUACGGGAGGCAGCAGUGGGGAAGAUUGCACAAUGGGCGAAAGCCUGAUGGAGCAAUGCCGCGUGGGUGAAGAAGGCCUUCGGGUUGUAAAGCACUUUCAGCGGGGAGGCGUUACCCGCAGAAGAAGCACCGGCUAACUCCGUGCCAGCAGCCGCGGUAAUAC